CCGUAUUUAUAUGAUGCGAUAAACAGAAACUACCUGGCCCCCCUCGCCGUGUGCGGCACGGCUGUUUCGUUUAAUCUUCGCUAUUGUCGCGAGGGGCGCACGGCCUCGCGGCCACGGGAAACCGAUUUCCGCGUUGUCUCAUUGCCGCACGUUCUCAUCUUUUUCGCGUGUAGGGCUAUUUCAGGACGAAUCGAUCAUUAGUUUUGCGCUGUGUGUUUAGGUACCUUGAGGGUGAUGAGAUGUGACGUAGGGAUGGUGUAUUCUGUAUAUAUUAUUACAGUAAAAGAGCCGUUCAUUGCACAAGUCGAUUAACUCCAUGAAACAAAAUGUUGAGAAAUGGGAUUAAAUAUAAAAACGAACGGCUGAAAUGUCAUUAUUUUAUCGCGAUGCAUUGGACGGAUGCCCGGCACAACUGCACGUAAAAGGAAUCUUGAAUCUCGCGACGUUCUCCGAAUAGCAGUGCACGCAUCAGACCACUGAGGUACAAAGGAAGAUUGAUGGAAGCUGAUUCUCUCCAUCUCUCUUGGGCCUCCACUGUCAGCUCCUCCAGAACGUUGCACGAGCCGCGACGUAAUGGAUGAUGCAACACAGGUGGCUGGCAGUCUUCGAUGAAAAAUUAAUUGAGCCUAGAAAAUACACAUUUUUCAUCUUAAUAAGAUACCUGAUGGAAACUAGUUAAUCAAGAUUAAUUUAGUAAUUUGCAGUCGCAUUGGUUUUAAUUGUGAUGUGCAGCAAUAAAGGGAGAAUAUAUACAUGUAAGUAUAGACUUAGAUGCAAGUAAUUGAAGAAUUUGUUUAGAGGUAUUUGUUCAUUAAUUUUUGCAUUAUUUUUAACAAUUUGUUUACCUACUUGUAAACAAUACCUCUCAUAUUUUUUAUCACAUUCCUUUCAAAUCACUUUCUAAUCACAGAAAUUGCAAUUGCUUUUUAAAUCAUCGUAUCCUUCUAAUAGACUCUCUUUGUCACUUCGUGAGGGAACGUUCAAUACCUUGACAGGGUUUGAAGCUUCCAUAAAAUAAAUUCAUGGGAGAUAGAUAAUCUCUCCCGGCGUCAAGACGUAAAUAGCAAUUCUAGAAGAAAAAUUAGCUGUUAAGCGUCAGCGAGAUUGGGUUUUUAAAGAAAUUUGCCACCUUCCGGAAGUGUCUGCGAGGCGACAUAUUUAGCAAAGUCUUUUUCUGUCGUCCUCUCGAUGAAAUCUGCCGAGACAACGACGAGGGUAGGCGGAUGAUUUUCACCCCCCGAAGCGAGGGAAAAAUUAACGGUGGUCGUUACGGAGGUAGACGCAAUUUUGAUUCUAUCUGUUGUCGACGCACGGGGACGAAGCAGCAGAUGAAGUCGCAAAGUAAUACCUGAAAAUCUCACGAAGAGCAAAACGGCGAAAGUUAUCUCGUAAGCCCCUAAUAAUUUUCAUCGCUAAUACUUUCUUGCCUUACAUUCUCCUGGUUCUGUCCACUCUCACCUUUUUCCAGUACGAUUAUUCUCUUAAUAUUUUUCCUCUUAUUCCAUUAAAAUUAUGCACGAAGAACUUUUGAUUUCGGAGUAUUAUUGCUCAAUUAAAUAUUCACCUGUCGAAGACUCGUCCAUUGUUUGAUCGAUAGUGUCGCUGUGACGCGUAGCAUGGAGUAAUUAAUACGACAAAAAGUGAGUUGCCCAUUAUCUAAAAUGUAAUAUCUUCAUUAAUUGGCACUUAUAUUACUGGAACAAUGGCAACGUUUAAUGUCUUCGCUUUACAGCGUAUCUCUGACAUUCAACAAGUGAAAGCAAUUCUCACGUACAAAGGCGUAUGGUUCAUAGAGGUACA